rnacentral:rRNA from 1 species
GGUUCGAUUCUGGCUCAGAUUGAAACGCUGGCGGGAUGUGACAUGAUGCAAGUCGAACGGCAGCACGGACUUCGGUCUGCGCGAGUGGCAAUCAAGAGUAAUGUAUCGGAACGUGCCUAUAGUGAUAACUACGCGAAAGCGUAGCUAAUACCGUAUACGCCCUUCGGGGGAAAGCGGGGACCUUCGGGCCGCAAUCAUUAGAGCGGCCGAUAUCGGAUUAGCUAGUUGGUGGGGCAACGGUCACCAGAAAAGGCGACGAUCCGUAGCUGGUUUGAGAGGACGACCAGCCACACUGGGACUGAGACACGGCCCAGACUCCUACGGGAGGCAGCAGUGGGGACUUUGGACAAUGGGGAAACCCUGAUCCAGCCAUCCCGCGUGUGCGAUGAAGGCCUCUUUCAAGCUGUAAAGCACUUUUGGCAGGAAAGAACGGCACGGGAUACUACCCGUGCAACUGACGGUACCUGCAGAAUAAGCACCGGCUAACCACACGUGCCAGCAGCCGCGGUAAUACGUAGGGUGCAAGUGUUAAUCGAACUACUGGGCGCAGCGUGCGCAGGCGGUUCGGAAAGAAAGAUGUGAAAUCCCAGAGCUUAACUUUGAACUGUGAUGAACUACUGAGCCAGGGAGUGUGUCAGAGGGAGGGAAUUCCGCGUGUAGCAGAAAUGCGUAGAUAUGCGGAGGAACACCGAUGGCGAAGGCAGCCUCCUGGGAUAACACUGACGCUCAUGCACGAAAGUGGGAGCAAACAGGAUUAGAUACCCUGGUAGUCCACGCCCUAAAACGAUGUCAACUAGCUGUUGGGGCUCUCGGGCCUGGUGCAGCGCAGCUAACGCGAAGUUGACCGCCUGGGAGUAUGGUCGCAAGAUUAAAACUCAAAGGAAUUGACGGGGACCCGCACAAGCGGUGGAUGAUGUGGAUUAAUUGAUGCAACAAAGGGAAACUUAUUCACCUGACAUGUCUGGAAUCCCGAAGAGAUUUUGGGAGUGCUCGCAAGAGAACCGGAACGAAAAGUGUAUGGCUGUCGUCAGCUCGUGUCGUGAGAUGCUUGGGUUGCGUCCCGCAACGAGCGGCAACCUCUUGUCAUUAUUGCUGCAUGAAAGGGCACUCUCAUCGAGAUUGCCGGUGACAAACCGGGAGGAAGGUGGGGAUGACGUCAAGUCCUCAUGGCUCUUGCGGGUAGGGCUUCACACGUCAUACAAUGGUCGGGACAGAGUAGUCGCCAACCCGCGAGGGGGAGCCAAUCCCAGAAACCCGAUCGUAGUCCGAUCGCAGUCUGCAACUCGACUGCGUGAAGUCGGUAUCGCUGGUAACGUGAUCGGUAUGUCGCAGAAUACGUUCCUGGUCUGUACACACCGCCCGUCACACCAUGGGAGUGGUUUUACCAGAAGUAGUUAGCCUAACCGUAAGGAGGGCGAUUACCACGGUAGGAUUCACAUGCGACUGGGGUGAAGUCGUAACAAGGUA